CUAUACAUUUGUUCAAACUCAUAGAAUGACAACAAGAGUAAACUCUGAGAUAAACUAUGGACUUUGUGUGAUUAUGAUGUGUCAAUUAGGUUCACCCUUGGUAAAAACUGUACGAUUCAGGUGAGUGAUGUUGGUAAUAGAGGAGGCUAUGCAGGGGGGCAGGAGUUGUGAAGAAAAUCU